rnacentral:ncRNA from 1 species
CUCUUGCAAAAGCCGCUAGAGUGGUACCAAAACUCUGAGCAUUAGAUUGCCUCAAUAAAAAAGGUAAGGGACAGCGAGUGAGACAAUGGGGUAAACUUCAUUAUUAAGAGGGGAACAACCUAGAUCUCCAGCUAAUGCUCUUAAAUUAUCGCUCGGUGAUGAAGGGAGUUUGAAUGUUAACAUAGUGAGGAGGUUUGCCUAGAAGCAUCUAAUCUUGAAAGAACGCAUAAUAGCUCAUUGAUCUAGUGCUCUUGCAUUGAAGAUGAAUGAGAAUAAGCAAUUUAUUGAAGUUGUGAGGUGUAAAAAUACAUCCAUAGGGGAGUGUUUUGCCUUAGAGGGAAGCAUCAAUGUGAGCAAGUGUGGACUAAGUGGAAGUU